CGCUGGCGGCGUGCCUAAUACAUGCAAGUCGAACGGUCUUUCUAUGGAAGCUUGCUCCACUGAGAAGAUAGUGGCGAACGGCGAGUAACACGUGGGUAACCUGCCCAUAAGAGGGGGAUAACAUCCGGAAACGGGUGCUAAUACCGCAUAGUUUUCUUGAUCGCAUGAUCGGGAAAGGAAAGACGGCCUUUGUGCUGUCGCUUAUGGAUGGACCCGCGGCGUAUUAGUUAGUUGGUGAGGUAACGGCUCACCAAGACGAUGAUACGUAGCCGACCUGAGAGGGUGAUCGGCCACAUUGGGACUGAGACACGGCCCAAACUCCUACGGGAGGCAGCAGUAGGGAAUCUUCCGCAAUGGACGAAAGUCUGACGGAGCAACGCCGCGUGAGUGAAGAAAGGUUUUCGGAUCGUAAAACUCUGUUGUCAGAGAAGAACAAGUUGGAGAGUAACUGCUCCAGCCUUGACGGUAUCUGACCAGAAAGCCACGGCUAACUACGUGCCAGCAGCGGC
rnacentral:rRNA from 1 species